rnacentral:rRNA from 1 species
UGCCAGCCUCCGCGGUACUACUGGUUAUGCAAUCGUUAUCCGGAAUCAUUGGGUGUAAAGCGCCUGUAGGUUGUUUGAUAAGUCUGUUGUUAAAGCCUAGGGCUUAACCCUAGAAAAGCGAUGGAAACUACCAGACUAGAGUAUGGAAGGGGUAGAGGGAAUUUCUAGUGUAGCGGUGAAAUGCGUAGAUACUAGAAAGAACACCAGAGGCGAAAGCGCUCUACUAGGCCAGUACUGACACUCAGAGGCGAAAGCUAGGGUAGCAAAAGGGAUUAGAUA